rnacentral:lncRNA from 1 species
AUGUGGAUCAGCUACAUAGCAGGGGCUUGCAUCAAGGGAACCUUCCCAGAAAGAAUGUCUGGAAGAUGGACAACUCCUGGCAAGACAUGGGAUGAAGAGAGCAGUGAAGCCAGUGCAGGUCCCUGUGUCCAAGGGGCAGCCAUUCUAUCUGGCAAGCAAAAUGGCAGUGGGGAGCCAUCCCCCCAAAAGGAGACCUUGGUGCCCUGGCCCUUCCUCCUCCUUGUGGUGAUUUUGAGGCCUGGGGACCAGCUCUCAGCAAUGCCAUGUUUUGGUCACCGUAGGACACUUUUGGAGUCAUAUUGCAGUGGCCUCCAGUUAUCACGAGCCACCUGAGUUCUGUUAUGAGCCCUAUAGACCCCAGUAUAUAGGGGGACCCUGGAGCACAAACAGCGGUUGCUAAGUUACUUGGGAUUUGGACUCUAAGAGCACGUGGAUGUAAGGAAGACCAUCACAGCAAAUUGUCUGCCCACCUUUGUGGGACACAUUGAGGAGGUUCUUCAAACAAAGGAGGAUAGACCUUCUACUACUCAAGAAGUGGCUGAUGGGGAGGCUCCACACCAUUGAGCCGACAGAGUUGUACCUAUCUGAGACCGAUAUGGAGCCCAUGGAAGUGGAUGCAGAACCAUCACCGACCCUUUGCUCUCAGCAUGGGAGGAGACCCAGACCCAGCCCCUACUGUUACAGGGACACAGGAUUCUGUCCACGUCCCUCCAAAUGGCCACCUUGAUCCUGGCAAUGAACUUAUUAAUGUUGUAGAGCCCCAAAUUCAGGACAAUCCUGUGGGCUGACAUUGGACAUUCAUUUCCUGGCGAUUCUUCUUUUGACAGCCAAGGAUCCUAUGAGCUCAUGCUUCCUGUACACUAUCCUUGUCCCUCCCAAAAACCUGGCAAGUUUUUGCAUUAAGUGCUGAUGAAGAGGAGAGGGCACUGGUGUACUCAGUGCAGGUAUGCUAGAGCAAUAGCAGAGGGACCAAAGCUCCAAGUGGCCUUGAGGAGGUUUCAAAAGAAGUUACAGAAGCAAUAACUGUAAAAAAAAGUACAAAAUAAUAAAACCACCACCAACAAAAAAUACGAAAGCA